rnacentral:rRNA from 1 species
GAUGAACGCUGGCGGCGUGCCUAAUACAUGCAAGUCGAGCGAACGGACGAGAAGCUUGCUUCUCUGAUGUUAGCGGCGGACGGGUGAGUAACACGUGGAUAACCUACCUAUAAGACUGGGAUAACUUCGGGAAACCGGAGCUAAUACCGGCUAAUAUUUUGAACCGCAUGGUUCAAAAGUGAAAGACGGUCUUGCUGUCACUUAUAGAUGGAUCCGCGCUGCAUUAGCUAGUUGGUAAGGUAACGGCUUACCAAGGCAACGAUGCAUAGCCGACCUGAGAGGGUGAUCGGCCACACUGGAACUGAGACACGGUCCAGACUCCUACGGGAGGCAGCAGUAGGGAAUCUUCCGCAAUGGGCGAAAGCCUGACGGAGCAACGCCGCGUGAGUGAUGAAGGUCUUCGGAUCGUAAAACUCUGUUAUUAGGGAAGAACAUAUGUGUAAGUAACUGUGCACAUCUUGACGGUACCGAAUCAGAAAGCCACGGCUAACUACGUG